AAUGGGCGAAAGCCUGAUCCAGCAAUGCCGCGUGAGUGAUGAAGGCCUUCGGGUUGUAAAGCUCUUUCAGUAGGGAAGAUAAUGACGGUACCUACAGAAGAAGCUCCGGCUAACUCCGUGCCAGCAGCCGCGGUAAUACGGGGGGAGCUAGCGUUGUUCGGAAUUACUGGGCGUAAAGCGCGCGUAGGCGGUUUAUCAAGUUGGAAGUGAAAUCCCAGGGCUUAACCCUGGAACUGCCUUCAAAACUGAUAGACUAGAGAUAAGUAGGGGAUAACGGAAUUCCUAGUGUAGAGGUGAAAUUCGUAGAUAUUAGGAGGAACACCAGUGGCGAAGGCGGUUAUCUGGGCUUAUUCUGACGCUGAGGUGCGAAAGCGUGGGGAGCAAACAGGAUU
rnacentral:rRNA from 1 species